UGCAGUCGAGGGGCAGCAUUCACUUCGGUGAGAUGGCGACCGGCACACGGGUGCGUAACGCGUAUGCAACCUACCUUAUACAGAGGGAUAGCCCAUGGAAACGUGGAUUAAUACCUCAUAGUACUAUUAAUCUUCAUGGAUUAGUAGUUAAAACUUCGGUGGUAUAAGAUGGGCAUGCGUAUGAUUAGGUAGUUGGUAGGGUAACGGCCUACCAAGCCAACGAUCAUUAGGGGUUCUGAGAGGAUUAUCCCCCACACUGGUACUGAGACACGGACCAGACUCCUACGGGAGGCAGCAGUGGGGAAUAUUGCACAAUGGAGGAAACUCUGAUGCAGCCAUGCCGCGUGUGUGAAGAAGGCCCGAGGGUUGUAAAGCACUUUUAGUGAGGAGGAAAGGUUAGUAGUUAAUACCUGCUAGCUGUGACGUUACUCACAGAAAAAGCACCGGCUAACUCUGUGCCAGCAGCCGCGGUAAUACAGAGGGUGCAAGCGUUAUUCGGAAUUACUGGGCGUAAAGCGCGCGUAGGCGGAUUGUUAAGUCAGUUGUGAAAGCCCUGGGCUCAACCUAGGAACGGCGAUUGAAACUGGCAGUCUAGAGUUUAGUAGAGGGAAGGGGAAUUUCUGGAGUAGCAGUGAAAUGCGUAGAUAUCAGAAGGAACAUCAGUGGCGAAGGCGCCUUCCUGGACUAAAACUGACGCUGAGGCGCGAAAGCGUGGGGAGCAAACGGGAUUAGAUACCCCGGUA
rnacentral:rRNA from 1 species